CAAUUGGUACUGUCCUUUUAAGACCACCUGCCAAUCAAAUUAAUCAAGUGGGAGGCGGUCAGUGUUAGCAAACAGAGAGUUUAGUACACCAAACAAGCUAGCACAAUUCCAGUGUGAUUAUACAUUACAAGGCCUAAGCGAGCACAACAUCUUUCCCUGAUUUAGCGACUCGGAGUAAUGGCUCUGCGCUGACAGGCUUGUAUGUGGGCAGAUAUACUUGCUUUAAAAAGCCUGGUAUCUCGUUCUGAGGCUGGAUGCAUUGAAAGCACCUUAGCAAUGCCACAGUUCACAUGGACAAGCUGUGUGGUGCUGCAACUCUUGGGAAUCAAUAGCCAUCGUGCCAUGAACCCCAGCAGCUUCCUACAAAAAAAUCAAUAGGGGCCGUUUGUGGCUUAGCAGCCAUCAGUUGAUGUUGAUAAUGGAAGGGGCAGAGAGAGGCAGAGUAGAGGGCUCACUCUGAGAGCCCGCUGAGGGUUCAUCUCCAUGGAACCGCCCUCCUCUCAACGGCAGAGACACGCACUGACUUCUAACCAGACCUUUCUAUGAGAGUGCAAGAAAACCAUCGGCUCACUGUGUUCCUGUUUACAACCAGCUAAUGUUGAACUUUUAAAGUAUUUUUUUGCAAAAAAAAGCAUACCUUAAAAAUCUGCACAUCCUAAGGACAUUUGUGCUGGGUUUAGGUGAGUCUUUCAUGUGACUUUGUGAUGUGUUUAGUUUUUCCAUUAACAGAAAAAAAGUUAAUAAAAAAAAUGUACAAAUUAAAUAUGAAAUAAAAUGAGUUUUAUGUUCAUAAUAUUU
rnacentral:lncRNA from 1 species